AUGAUUGCUAGCUUAAGUGACUUGCUAUUUAGAACCUCAAAUGAUGUUAGAGGUGUAGGAAAGCAUGCCUAUAUGGUUCAAACUCAAUUAGAACAAGUUGCUACAUCUCAAAGAGAGUUGCUUGAUGAAAUGAACAAUAAUAUAAGUGACUUUACUGUUAGGAUAGCAACUAGAGGAGGUAAAAUGACUCAGGAAACACAUUAUCCUGAGGAACACCCAAAGAGGAUUGAACAAGACUCUCAAAGAAUUAACACUGAUGCACCUAGUCCUUCUAAAAGGAAAAAGAAAAAAAUGAUAGGACUUUGCAUGCCUCUAGUGAACUUGAAGUAG
rnacentral:rRNA from 1 species